rnacentral:rRNA from 1 species
GAUGAACGCUGACAGAAUGCUUAACACAUGCGAGUCGAUGGGGAAGUGGUGCUUGCACCCUGGCAACCAUGGCGGACGGGUGAGUAACGCGUAAGGGACUUACCUGCAGGACUGGGAUAACAGGGGGAAACUCCUGACAAGACCGGAUAAUGUCAUGGAGCUGCAUGGCUUUAUGAUGAAAGGAGACGCCUGCGGAGAGCCUUGCGUCCUAUUAGCUAGUUGGUGAGGUAAUGGCUCACCAAGGCGAAGAUAGGUAGCCGGCCUGAGAGGGUGGACGGCCACAAGGGGACUGAGAUACGGCCCUUACUCCUACGGGAGGCAGCAGUGGGGAAUAUUGGACAAUGGGGGCAACCCUGAUCCAGCAAUUCUGUGUGCACGAAGAAGGUUUUCGGAUUGUAAAGUGCUUUCAGCAGGGAAGAAGUAAGUGACGGUACCUGCAGAAGAAGCGACGGCUAAAUACGUG